GUUGUAUGAUGACCAUAGUACUUCAUGGUCCGUGUUUCUGAUUUUGUGAUUGCAUUGAAGUGCUGAUAAC